GGGGAUGUAAAGGUUUCGACGGGGAAGCGUAAGUUGGGUAAGCGGGCGGAGGAUUGCGCUUAUCUCCGAAACGAUGCGCUACGUUUAUAAAUUUAAACGACGAACAACCUCAGUUAAUGGCUGCCUAACUUAUUGCGCGGGUAACCGUGCGUAAGUUAGCAGUUCCGGGCGUUUUUUAACCCCCGGCGUCUGAAAUCGGUUGAGUACUGCGGCUUCCGACAGGCGAGACAAAAGCAGUCCACGUUUUUCGGUAUACGCCUGUAACCGAAAAACGUAUUACAGGCUACCGACGGUUAGGGUCUGUGCCGAUACCCUCGCUGUCGGGAACUUUGAAUCGGUGCUGCGCCCGGAGAAAACCCUCCUGAAAUGUUCUCGGACACGGGUUCGAUUCCCGUCAUCUCCAUAC
rnacentral:tmRNA from 1 species